rnacentral:rRNA from 1 species
UACGUAGGGUCCAAGCGUUAUCCGGAAUUACUGGGCGUAAAGCGUGCGCAGGCGGUGAUGUAAGACAGGUGUGAAAUCCCCGGGCUUAACCUGGGAACUGCAUUUGUGACUGCAUCGCUGGAGUGCGGCAGAGGGGGAUGGAAUUCCGCGUGUAGCAGUGAAAUGCGUAGAUAUGCGGAGGAACACCGAUGGCGAAGGCAAUCCCCUGGGCCUGCACUGACGCUCAUGCACGAAAGCGUGGGGAGCAAACAGG